rnacentral:rRNA from 1 species
ACGAAGGGUGCAAGCGUUACUCGGAAUUACUGGGCGUAAAGGGUGCGUAGGUGGUUGCUUAAGUCUGCUGUGAAAGCCCCGGGCUCAACCUGGGAAUGGCAGUGGAUACUGGGCAGCUGGAGUGCGGUAGAGGGUAGUGGAAUUCCCGGUGUAGCAGUGAAAUGCGUAGAGAUCGGGAGGAACACCAGUGGCGAAGGCGGCUACCUGGACCAGCACUGACACUGAAGCACGAAAGCGUGGGGAGCAAACAGGAUUAGAUACCCUGGUAGUCCACGCCCUAAACGAUGCGAACUGGACGUUGGGAGCAACUUGGCUCUCAGUGUCGAAGCUAACGCGUUAAGUUCGCCGCCUGGGGAGUACGGUCGCAAGACUG